rnacentral:tRNA from 1 species
UGGCAUGUAGCUCAGUAGGCAGAGCACCCGACUGUUAAUCGGAAGCGCGCUGGUUCGAUCCCAGCCGUGCCAG